rnacentral:rRNA from 1 species
AAUGAACGUUGGCGGCAUGGAUUAGGCAUGCAAGUCGAGCGAGAAGUGUAGCAAUACACGGAAAGCGGCGGAAGGGAGAGUAAUACGUGGGAAUCUGCCCUUAGACCUGGGACAGCAGCGGGAAACUGCUGGUAAUACCAGAUAAUGUCUAUGGACCAAAGGUGUGAUUCCGUCUAGGGAUGAGCCCACGUCCUAUUAGCUAGUUGGUAGGGUAAUGGCCUACCAAGGCGAUGAUGGGUAGCGGGUGUGAGAGCAUGACCCGCCUCACUGGGACUGAGACACUGCCCAGACACCUACGGGUGGCUGCAGUCGAGAAUCUUCGGCAAUGGGCGCAAGCCUGACCGAGCGAUGCCGCGUGCGGGAUGAAGGCCUUCGGGUUGUAAACCGCUGUCGAGGGGGAGCAACUUCCAUAGAGUUAUCUUUAUGGAUUGAGUGAUCCCUGGAGGAAGGACGGGCUAAGUUCGUGCCAGCCGCCGCGUAAAAC